ensembl:lncRNA
UGACGUUUGGAUGAAGCCCUGCAACACAGUGGUGGUGCAGGAUCUUCUCCAGAAGGCCCAGCAGUUCCACCAAUGGCAAACCCAAGUUAAUGCUCCCUGCUGGUCCCUUGUGGUCCCCAGCAUGCAGUGUUUGCUGGAUCCCAGACUGCUCAAGUGGGAGCUGAGAGGAAGACUGAGCACCUUGUCAAUGGGCGCUUCUUCCAGGAAGGAGGAGAACCAUGAGCCUUUUCCACAAUGCCUGCUUGCAGAACUGGGACUGGCUCCAGGGUGGGUGGCAGCAUCCCAGGGCCCGGAGCAGCAAGCAUCAGGAGCCCAAACGCCUGCUCAAAAAGGAGAAAAGCCCCAGAGGUGGACCCUGGUAUGUGGAAUAUCAACCUCUGCCCCUGGAGGAGCUGUGGAUGGAGCUGGGAUCUGGAGCAAGGAGAAGGCAAUGGACCACAUGGCUAUUUGGUGUGGGGAGAAGAAUGCAGCAGAGCUUGGAAACUCCUCCAAACCACCUAUCACACCUGAGAAUGUCAAGGGAGUAGAAAACAGGUCUUAUGGGAGGAGGUUUCUCUGCACUUGGAGCAACACCAUGAGGGUGACCAUCAUCCUGCAUGCUGGGCAAGCUGGUGUCUCUGUAUGGACCCUUAUCCUCAUGGACUUAAGGGUAAUGUGUGCUCACAAUGGGAUUUGCAGGCAGCUUCGUUGCCUUCCUGCCUCAGAGGCAAGGACCAAAGCUCCCUGCUUGGCAUGGGGACACUCAUCAGUACGUGUUGUGGCUUUGUGAAUUUUGCUUCUGUGGCCUGGUUCCAGCAAGGCCACUGACACUGGAGCUGGUUUGUCCAAAAACCCACCUAAGAGCCAAGACCCUACUUCUCAAACUGGCUCCUGCAUCAGAGGUUAUGUUUCUGUCUUCCUGCACACCAGCUCUUUCACCUCUGCUUGGAAGCUCUGAAAAGCUUCCUGAGAGGUUCUUGGGGCCCCUCUUUUAUUGCCAGCCCUGCCCUCACUUGUUCCUUUUUCCGCACCCUUUUUCAGGCUUCUGUUUCCCAUGCACCUCUGCAAAAACCAGAGAAGAACUUUCUCUUCACCUGAUGCUGGCUGCUCAUCUUUGCUCAGACUCUUUCCCCCACUGUUGCCUUUUCCUUCCCCAAAUUCCCUCCUUUAAUUUGCUUUUGCUUAUUGUGAAUACAAAGCUCUUCCAUCACAGUGUUUAUAGUUGGCAAAGCCUUGGGCCCAUUGCUUAAUUCUCCUUCCUACAUCCCUACUUAACUGCCAGGGCUCCCUGUGCUCUUUCCCUGCUUACAGAGCACCCAGGAUGGAUCCCAAUGCCUGUCCCCAGCUGUCUGCUGUGUGGUUCCCAUAUCCUGGCAGCCCAGUUCCCAAGGACUGCCCCGUCACGCUCACCAACUCCUCUUUCUCAUCUCUGGAAACCUGCUUUUUUUUUUUUUUUUUUUCCUUUUUUUCUUUUUUCUGGAGCUGGCAGCAGAUGUCUUUGCCUAUCUUUUUACUAGCUGUCCUUUCUUCUCUUUAGCCCCAGAGCAGCUUUGAGCAUGACCUGUCUUCCCCAGUGCCCAGCAAGUGGUGGUGAAGGGUGCAGGUAUCCCCUGCUCAGUGCACUACCAUGCUCUGGCACCUCCGCUCUCUGGCACCAGCCUCAUCAUCCUGACACCAAGUAAAUGUCAACAGCUUGCCUCGUGUCUGCUUCUCCAUAUCAGAUUUGCUCAUGGCUUCCCCUUGUCUCUCCCCAGAAUAGGCUGUGCUGCUCUAAAGCAUGGCUGCCCAGUUCCCAUCUUUGCAAGGACGUGGUGAGGAUGAGUACUGGCUGCAUCCCAGCUCUCUUUCCCUCUGAGAUCUCCUAGUCCAGGGGAGGCAUUUGGUGAACUGAGUCACAGAGCCACAGCCUGUGUCCAGGCAAGCAGAGCAAUGCUGCUGUGUCAGGGAUUUGCGUGCCAGUGGGGACUGAGGCCAGCGAAGUGUGAGCAUGCACUGAGCAGUAGACAAGUGGGAUGUGGGCAGCAGAUCCCUGAGACAUGAGGUCGGGCUUGUCCCAGGCCCAUCAGAACGGGAACUGGCCAGGCCAGCCCAAAAUAGACUCCUUGUCAGAGUUUCCACCAGGCCUCAGGGGCUCCUUAUCUCCUCACUGCUGCUCCUGCACAGGAUGAGCUGUGGACAAGAGGUCUCAAAGAGCAAUGUUGCCCUUUUCACCAGAGCUUCCUGUUGCGUGGGGCCCUCAUCCCAUGAAGUAACUGCCUCUCGUUAGCAGGACUAAUUAGGUGGGAGCAAAACCUGCCUAGGAUUAUGGGAUGGGGGGGGGUGGGGGGUGAAGGAGGCUGGGUUUUGCCACUGCUUUCAACAGUGCCUAAUUGACAGGGGCAGCCCAAGCACCCCUGAGGUCUGUGGUCCUCCUCUGUAAAAGUGUGUAAGGCUGUUGACACAGUCUGCCACAACAUCCUUUUCUCUGAAUUAGAGAGGGAUGGCUUUGAAGGGUGGACUUCUUCAGAAGGUAAGGAAUUGGCCCUGGCAGUGCCCAAGGCCAGGCUGGAUGGGGCUGGGGACA